AUCAAAGCAGCAGAGGUUAGGGUUUUGUUACUUUAGGACAAGUUCCAAAAUCCUGAAUCCUGUUGUCACAGGCUCAGCAGUACUGCUCAUUAGGAGUGAUGACUUGACAUGUAACAUUGGUGGAGUUACCCCUUUGAAUUUGCAAACCACUAUACAUACAUUACACAUUGUGGAUGAUAAUAUACUCUAAGUUGUAUGUAAAACA